CAGAUUCAUCAAGAGAGGGCUGACGCCCCGCCAACCUGCUGUUUGAGCAAGGUGGUUAUUCCGUAAGGAAGAUGUGGCUUAUUCAGCAACCUCAAGCGUCACC
rnacentral:ncRNA from 10 species